AAGUCUACAUGAAAAGGAUGGUUUCUUGGAGCUUCCACAAACUUAAAACCAUGAAACAUCUAUUAUUGCUACUAUUGUGUGUUUUUCUAGUUAAGUCCCAAGGUGUCAACGACAAUGAGGAGAUGAGAAAACUGGGGCACAGAUAAAGCAACUUGCCCAAGGUCUCAUAGCUGUAAGUCAACCCUACGGUCAAGACCUACAAGUAGCCGAGCUCCAGAGUACAUUAUGAGGGUCAAAGAUUGUCUUAUUACAAAUAAAUUCCAAGUAGAAUCAACCUUUAAUAAGUCUUUAAUGUCUCUUAAAUAUGUUUAUAUAGGAGUCUAAUCACCAAUUCACAAAAAUGAAAGUAGGGAAAUGAUUAACAAUAAUCAUAGGAAUCUAACAAUCCAAGUGGCUUGAGAAUAUUCAUUCUUCUUGACAGUAUAGAUUCUUUACAAUUUCGUAAGUUCCAAUGUAUGUUUUAGGAAUAUGAGGUCAUUACUAUUCAUAAUCUGAUACAGCUUUAUCCUAAGGCCUCUCUUUAAAAACUACACUGCAUCAUAGCUUUUUUGUGCAGUUGGUCUUUCUACUGUUACUGAACAGUAAGCAACCUACAGAUUCACUAUCACCAACCAGCCAGUUGAUGGAUCUUAAGCAAAUUAUCAAGCUUGUGAUAACCUAAAUUAUAAAAUGAGGGUGUUGGAAUAGUUACAUUCCAAAUCUUCUAUAACACUCUGUAUUAUAUUUCUGCCUCAUUCCUUGUAGGGUUUCUUCAGUGCCCGUGGUCAUCGACCCCUUGACAAGAAGAGAGAAGAGGCUCCCAGCCUGAGGCCUGCCCCACCGCCCAUCAGUGGAGGUGGCUAUCGGGCUCGUCCAGCCAAAGCAGCUGCCACUCAAAAGAAAGUAGAAAGAAAAGCCCCUGAUGCUGGAGGCUGUCUUCACGCUGACCCAGACCUGGGGGUGUUGUGUCCUACAGGAUGUCAGUUGCAAG
rnacentral:lncRNA from 10 species